rnacentral:rRNA from 3 species
GCUUAGCCCUAAACUUAGAUAGUUAAUUUUAACAAAACUAUCCGCCAGAGAACUACUAGCAACAGCUUAAAACUCAAAGGACUUGGCGGUGCUUUACAUCCCUCUAGAGGAGCCUGUUCUAUAAUCGAUAAACCCCGAUAUACCUCACCAUCUCUUGCUAAUUCAGCCUAUAUACCGCCAUCUUCAGCAAACCCUAAAAAGGAAAAAAAGUAAGCACAAGUAUCUUAACACAAAAAAGUUAGGUCAAGGUGUAGCCCAUGAGAUGGGAAGCAAUGGGCUACAUUUUCUAAAACUAGAACACCCACGAAAAUCCUUAUGAAACUAAGUAUUAAAGGAGGAUUUAGUAGUAAAUUUGAGAAUAGAGAGCUCAAUU